CAGGGGUCUCAUUUAUAACCGUUGCGUAUGCACAAAACGGGGCUGAAAGUUGCGUACGUGACUUUUCACGCCAAGGUUGUGAUCUAUGAAAAACUAACUUGGCGGGAGAAUGUGCGCAGCCCUAAGCAAACUCUGACCCAUGCGUACGCAUGGUUUGGAGGAGAAGGAGAUUUGGCGACACAGAUGGUGUGGUGGUGAACUGAAGUCAGACUGAAGAAAUGUAGAGGGAGUAGAACGAUUAUGUUUUAUCAUCCCCCUUCAUAAGUUGAAGUUCAAUCCGUAUCAUGUGUUAAAUCAUAGUAGGGCCUAAUCAGAAUAAUUUUUGAAUAAUUAAAAUUAAAAUUCUCUAUAGGCCUAUUUAAUCCCGUCACUCCAUACUGUCCACUCCCGGAUCGCAGGAGGAGGAGAGGACGGCGCGACUGCAUGGAAUAAAGCAUCUGUCCAACAUGUGUCAAUAUCAUAAUAUUUUUAUGUGACACUGUAAACACAUAAUCAAAAUCAAAUGUCAAUUAAAUCCCAAGUGUGGAAAAUCAAGCCACACCCUCAUCACAAUCGUUAUAUUAUAGUCCGUUCCUCUUGAUGCUUUUCAUGACAAAUCAGGCAUUCAAAAGGGGUUAUAUUCAAGAACAUUUUACGUGGGUAAUUACAAACUGAUUAACCAAGCUGUUCUCGGUCAGUUUUAUUACCGUAACCCUAUACAUGAUACAGCGGUGAGCCCAGUGCGUAAUGCUGCACCAUGGCACUGCUGGCACUGCUGGAGGACCAUGCAAAUGGCAUGAUUCGGAGGGAGAGGGUCUUCAGGGACCAUAACGAUUUGUUGGCCCAUGAUGAUGACUGGCUAAUGAGCCGUUUUAGAUUCCCUAGAGCUAUGCUCUUGGAUCUAUGUGCUGAACUGGGUCCAGCAUUGGAAAGGGCAACACGUAGGAACCACGCAAUCCCGGUGCAGACGCAGGUCCUCACCACUUUGGGGUUCCUGGCAACCGGCUGUUUCAAACGGGAAUUGGCAGACAGGUAAGUAUCCGGUAUAUCACAGCCAUCCCUCAGUGCCCUAAUGCUCAGCGUUUUGAAUGGCAUCAUACAUAUGGGCAGUCGAUACAUAAGGUUUCCCUACACAGUGGAAGAACAGGCCGAGAUUAAAAGGCAAUUUGCAGCAAUGUCCGAUUUCCCAAAUGUAAUCGGCGCAAUUGACUGCACUCAUAUUGCUAUAAGGGCUCCAUCUGAACAUGAGUUCGCUUACGUCAACCACAAGCACGUGCACACUAUUAAUGUUCAAGUUAUAUGUGAUGCCCAUAUGAACUUGACAAACAUAGUGGCACGUUGGCCUGGUGCAACACAUGAUUCCUUUAUUCUGACGCACAGUAGUGUAGGGAACAGACUACAGGCAGGCGCGGGGCGGGAUGGCUGGCUUCUAGGGGACAGUGGAUACCCCCUGAGACGCUGGCUCCUCACCCCAGUUUUGAACGCGCAAAGCGCCGAGGAACAACGAUAUAAUGAGGUCCAUGGCCGUGCUCGUUCAGUGGUGGAGCGCGCCAUCGGCCUCCUGAAGUGCCGGUGGCGCGCUCUGGAUGCGUCGGGGGGAGGCUUUUAUACCAGCCUGCCAAAGUGUGCCGCAUUAUAAGGGCUUGUGGUGUGCUGCACAAUUUGUCCCAGAGGAACGGCAUCCCUCUCCCCCCCGACCUCCCUCCCCCCGAGCUUGACCCGGAGGCCCAGCCCCCUCCGAGGCAAGUCGGAUUUCAACAGGGUGCAAGAGUACGUGCGGAUGUCAUGCGGCGUUUAUGAAAUGAAGACGACUCAAGGUUAAUUUUUUCACAGUA